rnacentral:rRNA from 1 species
AUUGAACGCUGGCGGAAUGCUUUACACAUGCCAGUCGAACGGCAGCACGGGGGCAGCCCUGGUGGCGAGUGGCGAACGGGUGAGUAAUACAUCGGAACGUGCCCGGUCGUGGGGGAUAACGUAGCGAAAGUUACGCUAAUACCGCAUACGAUCUGAGGAUGAAAGCGGGGGACCUUCGGGCCUCGCGCGAUCGGAGCGGCCGAUGUCAGAUUAGGUAGUUGGUGGGGUAAAGGCCUACCAAGCCGACGAUCUGUAGCUGGUCCGAGAGGACGACCAGCCACACUGGGACUGAGACACGGCCCAGACUCCUACGGGAGGCAGCAGUGGGGAAUUUUGGACAAUGGGCGCAAGCCUGAUCCAGCCAUUCCGCGUGCAGGACGAAGGCCUUCGGGUUGUAAACUGCUUUUGUACGGAACGAAAAGGCUCUGGCUAAUACCUGGGGCUCAUGACGGUACCGUAAGAAUAAGCACCGGCUAACUACGUG